rnacentral:rRNA from 1 species
CCCUUAGAUGUUCUGGGCUGCACGCGCGCUACACUGAUGCGCUCAACGAGUUUUAACCUUGCCUGGAAAGGUUGGGUAAUCUUUUUAAAACGCAUCGUGAUGGGGAUAGAUUAUUGCAAUUAUUAAUCUUCAACGAGGAAUUCCUAGUAAGCGCGAGUCAUCAGCUCGUGCUGAUUACGUCCCUGCCCUUUGUACACACCGCCCGUCGCUCCUACCGAUUUCGAGUGGUCCGGUGAACCUUUCGGACAGAGAGAGUCUCGUACAAUCUCUGAAAGUCAAGUAAACCACAUCACUUAGAGGAAGGAGAAGUCGUAACA